GCUCAAUAUAAUUGUGAGUAAAUGUGCAUAUGUAUCAAAAACAUCCGAUAAUUUCUCACUUUCAAUAAUAAAAAUAAAAAAUAUGAACAACAAGGGAAAGAGAAAAAAUGUAUAGCCUAAUUAAGGAUAGGCACAAAAUGUUUGAUUCUUAAUACAAAGGAACAACCUUUCAUAAGCCAAUGCCAUCUUCCGAGCAGUAAACAUGGAAAUUGCAUAUUCUCUGCAAGCCUUUCCUCUCUGUGCCAAUCUCUUUGAGCCUUCCAUCACCACCAUUUCCAAUGUUUCAAGCAACGACUCGACGUUUGGUGAAAACAUGUAACCAAACUCAUCAUCCACAACUAUGGUUCCUUUGAUGCUAGGAAAUCUUGAUGCCAUUACUGGUUUUCCACUCAUCAUUGCUUCCAUGAGAGUAAGAUCAAGCCCUUGUGGUCUAAGCGUUGGAUUCACAAAUAUAUCAAUAGAAUUGUAGAAUGCCCUUAAUUCUGAAGGACUCAUAGACCCUAAAACUAGGACUUGUGCCCCUAAAUCCUUGUAUCUUUGUUGCCAUGGUCCAGAACCGGCCACUAUUAAAUAGACGUUAGGGUACUUUGUUUUGAGCUUGGAAAAGGCUUCAUAGAGUAGAGGAUGGCCUUUGUCCUUCACCAAUCUUCCAGCAACACCAAGAACUAAACUUGCAUUUGGUGGGACACCAAUUUUAGACCUAAACUCAUGGCCUAAUCUCACAUCUUCUCUAAAAUCAUCCUCAUCUACACCAUUCACAAUCACAUGAACUCUGUUUCUUGGGAUUUGGUACACAUCUCUCAGCAUCUCUCCACAACUAUCACUUAUGGCUACAUGAUGAGCAUAGCUCUUGAAGAACCUUAUCUCAUUAAGAACCUUAAGGACAUCUCCUCGCAUACUUCUAUUCGCCGCCGGCGAAAUGGGCUCGUUGGAUUUUCUUGUCAAGUCUUGGUAGAUAUCAGAUUGUAAACUCUCAAGGGCAAUACCAUGCCAAGAAACAGCAAGAUUUGGAACAUCUCGAGCAAGCCAAUGAGGAAGAGCUACACUUUCUGAGUGCACAACAUCGAAAGGUUGGCGUUGAUUCUCUUCAUGGAAUUGCUCCCAAGCUUUGUUAAAUCUCCACUUACCUGGCUCGCCUUCAUGGCAGUGAAUUUGAGGAGAAGAGAAUACAGGAGAAAGAGAUGAGAAUAGAGGAGAAAGAGAUGAGCUUUCUCCAUCUAGAGGAGAGGUGAAAACAUGAACCUGAUGGCCUCGGCGAGCCAGAGAAGUGUGUAGAGUAUAGGCAUGACGUUCCAUACCACCAGGGGUAGUACCAAUAGGCCAUUUGCGAGAGAAAACAGCAACUUUGAGCUUGAGAGGAGGCGGUUGAUGAAUUUCACUGAACAAAAGACGAUUCCAUGCAAAUUCGGCAGCACGUAGAUCACCAGACCAAGGCUUGGAAUGGGCGGAAACAGAAAGGGUGUUACAGAUGGAAGAUGGAUGAGUGUGAAGAAGGAAGAGAGCAGGAAUAGUGAAAAGAACAAUGAAGAAAAGAGUAGUGCAAAGACUGAAAUGAUGAGUAGAGAAAUGGGGUUUCUUGGAUUUGUUAUUGAAGGCCAUUCUUGUUGUGUGAUUGAGAUUAAAAUGAUUAUUGUUUGGCAUAUUUGAAAUGAAAAUUUGCAUAAUUAUGAUUGAAAAGUAAAGGAAAGUGGGAAGGUGGACAUGCACUUAAGCACUUGCAUUUUCCUUUGAGUGCGUUU
rnacentral:misc_RNA from 1 species